AGAAGCCGAUAAGUCAUCAAAUCAACCGUCCAAAAUCAUCACAAAGUCUUUCCGGAGUGUGUAAUAGAGAAAAACACACUCGGAUACACUCAGAAAAGUCUCAGAUGGACUAAAAUCAUCAUUGACGAAGCGGUCUCAGAAAUCACCCCCAAAAACCUCGAUACAGACUUCAUCCAUGACCACGAACACUCAGAAAUAUGAUCGGAUCGUCUACGAGGCUCUGAUACCAUGUUAACAUCAAGAUUAAAUGAGAGAAUCAUGCAAAUUAUAGAGAGAGAAAGUAGAGAGAAGGAGGAGAGUAGGUGAGAAGUCUCUCGAAUGUCAGAGAGAGAAUUGCAUUAACCGAGAAACAAUAAA
rnacentral:lncRNA from 1 species